rnacentral:rRNA from 1 species
CCGGCUACCAUGCAGUCGAGCGGAUGAGGGGAGCUUGCUCCUCGAUUCAGCGGCGGACGGGUGAGUAAUGCCUAGGAAUCUGCCUGGUAGUGGGGGACAACGUUUCGAAAGGAACGCUAAUACCGCAUACGUCCUACGGGAGAAAGUGGGGGAUCUUCGGACCUCACGCUAUUAGAUGAGCCUAGGUCGGAUUAGCUAGUUGGUAGGGUAAAGGCCUACCAAGGCGACGAUCCGUAACUGGUCUGAGAGGAUGAUCAGUCACACUGGAACUGAGACACGGUCCAGACUCCUACGGGAGGCAGCAGUGGGGAAUAUUGGACAAUGGGCGAAAGCCUGAUCCAGCCAUGCCGCGUGUGUGAAGAAGGCCUUCGGGUCGUAAAGCACUUUAAGUUGGGAGGAAGGGCUCAUAGCGAAUACCUGUGAGUUUUGACGUUACCAACAGAAUAAGCACCGGCUAACUUCGUGCCAGCAGCCGCGGUAAUACGAAGGGUGCAAGCGUUAAUCGGAAUUACUGGGCGUAAAGCGCGCGUAGGUGGCUUGAUAAGUUGGAUGUGAAAUCCCCGGGCUCAACCUGGGAACUGCAUCCAAAACUGUCUGGCUAGAGUGCGGUAGAGGGUAGUGGAAUUUCCAGUGUAGCGGUGAAAUGCGUAGAUAUUGGAAGGAACACCAGUGGCGAAGGCGACUACCUGGACUGACACUGACACUGAGGUGCGAAAGCGUGGGGGAGCAAACAGGAUUAGAUACCCUGGUAGUCCACGCCGUAAACGAUGUCAACUAGCCGUUGGGAUCCUUGAGAUCUUAGUGGCGCAGCUAACGCAUUAAGUUGACCGCCUGGGGAGUACGGCCGCAAGGUUAAAACUCAAAUGAAUUGACGGGGGCCCGCACAAGCGGUGGAGCAUGUGGUUUAAUUCGAAGCAACGCGAAGAACCUUACCUGGCCUUGACAUGCUGAGAACUUUCCAGAGAUGGAUUGGUGCCUUCGGG